AUAAAGGGUCAGAAACCUUCUAGUGGCUCGCAAGUAUAAGAAGUCAGCGCGUUUACCGAACAUCACAAAGCUGCCUUCGAGGUCCCAGGAAAGAAGAAAAAACCAGGCCCACUAUCUUCGUCGCAAUUUAGCUUCAGACAUAACCACAGGUGAGAUUAUUCGCUAUGAAGGCCUACGCCAUCUUGGCUCUCCUCAUCCUGGGGCAUUUGUGCCAAAUUCAGGCAGCCAUGCUGAGCAAGCCAGCAACGAGCACGGACGACGCGAAGAAGCUGCUCGCCGAGAAACUUUCCCAUUCAAUCGUGAAACACCGUGAAGAGCUCCUCGAGGCUCUCAAGACAAUCGACAGCACGGGCGACGCAACCGAUGAGCAGGUCCCACCCCUACUUGUUCCGUUAAUUGCGGCCAUUAUAAACGGCGCCGUAGGGGGAGCUGUUGGAGCCGGUAUUGCGAUAGCAGUGCAGAAUGGCUGAA
rnacentral:lncRNA from 1 species